rnacentral:rRNA from 1 species
CACGGUCCAGACACCUACGGGUGGCAGCAGUCGAGAAUUUUUCUCAAUGGGGGAAACCCUGAAGGAGCGACGCCGCGUGGGGGAUGAAGGGCUUCGGCUCGUAAACCCCUGUCAUUUGUGAGCAAGUGUUAUUGUUUAAGAGAUGAUGACAUUGAUAGUAGCAAAAGAGGAAGGGACGGCUAACUCUGUGCCAGCAGCCGCGGUAAUACAGAGGUCCCAAGCGUUGUUCGGAAUCACUGGGCGUAAAGGGUGCGUAGGCGGUAUAGUAAGACUUGGGUGAAAUCUCCAUGCUUAACGUGGAGGGAGCCUGGGAGACUGCUGUGCUAGAGGAUUGGAAGGGAGACUGGAAUUCUUGGAGUAGCAGUGAAAUGCGUAGAUAUCAAGAGGAACACCAGUGGCGAAGGCGAGUCUCUGGACAAGACCUGACGCUGAGGCACGAAGGCCAGGGGAUCAAACGGGAUUAGAUACCCCGGUAGUCCUGGCAGUAAACGGUGCACACUUGCUGUGUGAGGGAUCGACCCCUUACGUGGCGAAGCAAACGCGAUAAGUGUGCCGCCUGGGGAGUACGGUCGCAAGACUAAAACUCAAAGAAAUUGACGGGGGCCUGCACAAGCGGUGGAGUAUGUGGCUUAAUUCGAUGCAACGCGAAGAACCUUACCUGGCCUUGACAUGCAGAUAUUAGAAGGGUGAAAGCCCGACGAGGGAGCAAUCUCAGUCUGCACAGGUGCUGCAUGGCUGUCGUCAGCUCGUGUCGUGAGAUGUUGGGUUAAGUCCCGCAACGAGCGCAACCCCUAUGUUCAGUUGCCACCCGGCCGAGAGGCUGGAGCACUCUGGAGAGACUGCCUCUUAUAAAAGGGGAGGAAGGUGGGGAUGACGUCAAGUCAGGAUGGCCCUUAUGGCCAGGGCUGCACACGUACUACAAUGCGUGCUACAAAGGGAAGCGAAUCCGCAAGGAGGAGCCAAUCCGAUAAAAGCACGCUCAGUUCGGAUUGUCGGCUGCAAUUCGCCGGCAUGAAGCUGGAAUCGCUAGUAAUGGCGCAUCAGCUACGGCGCCGUGAAUACGUUCCCAGGCCUUGUACACACCGCCCGUCACAUCAUGAAAGCCGUUUGUACCCGAAGUCACUGAGCUAACGAGCAAUCGAGGCAGGUGCCUAAGGUAUGGAUGGUGAUUGGGAUGAAGUCGUAACAAGGUAGCCGUAGGGGAACCUGCGGCUG